rnacentral:lncRNA from 1 species
UGCAGCCCUUUUGGGCUGCUCUCUCUCUCUCCUCUUCUCCUCCAUUUUUUUCCUCUUUUCUUUAGUUUUAUUUUAGGGAAUUUAGAAGGACUCACUCAAGGCUUCAAGGGAAUCAUCAUCAAGAGUACCACACCUUUAUUUUGGGUAGUUGGGUGAAGAAAUUGCUUGGUUCAUACUAGCUCAUAGCUAGGAGUGGCCAAACUAACUCUCCCCUCUCUUCCUUAUUAUCUAUUUCAUAAUUUUUAUAUAUUUUUGUUGAUGGAUUCUUGUAUGGGUUGUGAGUAGUUCAAUUUUGGGAGUUAGGGUUGUGAACCCCUAACUCAUCUUGUAUAAAUAUUGAUGCUUUAAUUUUAAUAAAUGCAAUUUCCAUUGUCUAAGCUUGCUUGGGUCUCUAUUAUCUUGCACUCUAGGCCUCUAAUUUUGGAUAUUGCGGCCUUAACCGGCGUAGUACCCAAAUUAGAGAGUUGAUUGUGGCCCUAACCGGCAUAAUCGAUACACCGAAAUGAUAAUUGGUUUAGUAGCUUUAACCGGUACUAGAUACAGGACUUGACACAUAUAGGAAAUGCAUGCAUUUGUAAAAUUGGCAUUGAUAUUUGCAAGAUAGUUAGUGUGAAUCACCCGACACUCCCAUGUUCCCAUUAAUUUGAAAACCCAAAUUUAAUUUUCUAGUUCGUUAAUUAGUUGUUUAGUUUACUUUUCGGUUGCGUUUAAUUUAGUUGAUUCCCAAUUCAAAACCCCCUACAAAUUUCAACUCAUUUGUGCAUAUCCACUACUAGGCUCUUAGUUUUGAUUAGGCUUUGGUGAAAACCAAAGCCGAGCAUUGCUAAGGCUUGGUGCCU